rnacentral:rRNA from 1 species
GAUGAACGCUGGCGGCGUGCCUAAUACAUGCAAGUCGAGCGAACGGACGAUAAGCUUGCUUCUCUGAUGUUAGCGGCGGACGGGUGAGUAACACGUGGAUAACCUACCUAUAAGACUGGGAUAACUUCGGGAAACCGGAGCUAAUACCGGAUAAUAUUUUGAACCGCAUGGUUCAAAAGUUAAAGACGGUCUUGCUGUCACUUAUAGAUGGAUCCGCGCUGCAUUAGCUAGUUGGUAAGGUAACGGCUUACCAAGGCAACGAUGCAUAGCCGACCUGAGAGGGUGAUCGGCCACACUGGAACUGAGACACGGUCCAGACUCCUACGGGAGGCAGCAGUGGGGAAUCUUCCGCAAUGGGCGAAAGCCUGACGGAGCAACGCCGCGUGAGUGAUGAAGGUCUUCGGAUCGUAAAACUCUGUUAUUAGGGAAGAACAUAUGUGUAAGUAACUGUGCACAUCUUGACGGUACCUAAUCAGAAAGCCACGGCUAACUACGUG